AUGGAGGAGGAGUUGCGCGUGUUGCUCCGCGACCUCGACGCGCUCAAGCAGCUCCCCGACCUGGCCUCCAUCGACCGGGUAAGCCGUCGUCCGCUCUCUCCCUCCCCAGAUCUCGAUCCCUUCCUCCGGUCACAGCCCCCACAUCUUCCUCUCCCCUGUUGCCAGAUGCGAGAUCGCAUGGUGAAGAUGAUGGGCCCGUCCGGCGCCGCUGCCGCCACCCGAUCGAAGAUCAAGGACAUGCGCGGAGGUUGUGGACAGCAACCCCUACAGCAGGCUCAUGGCGCUGCAGCGGAUGGGGAUCGUCGACAACUACGAGCGCAUCCGCGACUACUUUGUCGCCAUUGUGGUAAGCAUCUCGCUCUUAUCUGGCUGUGA
rnacentral:rRNA from 1 species